GAUGAACGCUGGCGGCGUGCCUAAUACAUGCAAGUCGAGCGAACAGACGAGGAGCUUGCUCCUCUGACGUUAGCGGCGGACGGGUGAGUAACACGUGGAUAACCUACCUAUAAGACUGGGAUAACUUCGGGAAACCGGAGCUAAUACCGGAUAACAUGUUGAACCGCAUGGUUCAACAGUGAAAGACGGUCUUGCUGUCACUUAUAGAUGGAUCCGCGGCGCAUUAGCUAGUUGGUAAGGUAACGGCUUACCAAGGCAACGAUGCGUAGCCGACCUGAGAGGGUGAUCGGCCACACUGGAACUGAGACACGGUCCAGACUCCUACGGGAGGCAGCAGUAGGGAAUCUUCCGCAAUGGGCGAAAGCCUGACGGAGCAACGCCGCGUGAGUGAAGAAGGUCUUCGGAUCGUAAAACUCUGUUAUUAGGGAAGAACAAAUGUGUAAGUAACUAUGCACGUCUUGACGGUACCUAAUCAGAAAGCCACGGCUAACUACGUG
rnacentral:rRNA from 1 species